AUGCCUCCGCUUGCCAUGGCUGCAGCAUGUAGCUUGAACACGGACGGGUUCCAGCGCGCGGUCAGCCUGGUUUUGCGGCAUCCUCGGUGUUCCCACCAUGUCCACUCGGUUGAAGCAACAAAAAUUCUCUGUUCCGGCACAAUUAAACGAUGGUUUCAGACUUCCAGCAAAAAAUUCAGCAGCAAAAAACCAUGGCUCGCCAACGCUCACCCCUCGCCAGUUCUACCUCCCCUCCCCUCGCCAACAACGGUAGCAGCAAUUUUUUUGUGUUGGUUCCAGCAAAAACAAAUACAGUGGUAG
rnacentral:rRNA from 1 species